UACGGGGGGGGCAAGCGUUGUUCGGAAUUACUGGGCGUAAAGGGCGCGUAGGCGGCCUGCUAAGUCAGACGUGAAAUCCCCCGGCUUAACCUGGGAACUGCGUCUGAUACUGGAGGGCUUGAGUGCGGGAGAGGGAUGUGGAAUUCCAGGUGUAGCGGUGAAAUGCGUAGAUAUCAGGAGGAACACCAAUUGCGAAGGCAGCUCGCUGGGACGUUACUGACGCUGAGACGCGAAAGCGUGGGGAGCAAACAGG
rnacentral:rRNA from 1 species